UGCCCAGCAAUUCCUAUCCCUACGUCCUCGUGGUACCGGCCGGAAACUAUGAGCAACCUUAGGGAAGAUCGGGUAACCAACCUUUGUCGUAGGCUGACAGGGAAGG
rnacentral:ribozyme from 1 species